rnacentral:rRNA from 1 species
UACGAAGGGGGCUAGCGUUGUUCGGAAUUACUGGGCGUAAAGCGCACGUAGGCGGUUUGCUAAGUCAGGGGUGAAAUCCUGGAGCUCAACUCCAGAACUGCCUUUGAUACUGGCGAUCUCGAGUUCGGGAGAGGUGAGUGGAACUGCGAGUGUAGAGGUGAAAUUCGUAGAUAUUCGCAAGAACACCAGUGGCGAAGGCGGCUCACUGGCCCGAUACUGACGCUGAGGCACGAAAGCGUGGGGAGCAAACAGG